rnacentral:rRNA from 16 species
GGGAAAGGUGAAAAGGGUCGCGGUAAGGGGCGUGAAGAUCUUGAAGGCGGUUAC